rnacentral:tRNA from 1 species
UAAGUUGAAGUCCGCUGGAAUUAGACGUUUAGUUGUUAACUAAAGUUUUACGGGAUAAAGGCCCGUCGACUUAG